AGAGUAAGAUCUUUUUUGUUUAACCAGAAACCGAAAUCGCCAAACUCACCAGACUCCAUGUAAAUAAGCAAUACUUUUUGCGUGUAUCGAGGCAGCAUAUUUCCACAAGUAAAUGGGUGUAUUAACGGUUUAUUUCAACCAAACCAGAGUGGUGAUUGUUGGAACAGGGGAGAGACGAACCAAGACAGCUUUUGAUGGUUUUAUUUGCUUUUUGUCGACUUUAAAUUAAGUGUGUUUUACGAUGAUAAAAUUACCGUUUAUUUACAUGGAGUCUGGUGACAGUUGUUCCUCCAGGU